rnacentral:rRNA from 1 species
CCCAGACUCCUACGGGAGGCAGCAGUGGGGAAUAUUGCACAAUGGGGGAAACCCUGAUGCAGCGACGCCGCGUGAGUGAAGAAGUAUUUCGGUAUGUAAAGCUCUAUCAGCAGGGAAGAUAAUGACGGUACCUGACUAAGAAGCCCCGGCUAACUACGUGCCAGCAGCCGCGGUAAUACGUAGGGGGCAAGCGUUAUCCGGAUUUACUGGGCGUAAAGGGUGCGUAGGUGGCAUGGCAAGUCAGAAGUGAAAGCCCGGGGCUCAACCCCGCGGACUGCUUUUGAAACUGUCAGGCUGGAGUACAGGAGAGGUAAGCGGAAUUCCUAGUGUAGCGGUGAAAUGCGUAGAUAUUAGGAGGAACACCAGUGGCGAAGGCGGCCUGCUGGACGAUGACUGACGUUGAGGCUCGAAAGCGUGGGGAGCAAACAGGAUUAGAUACCCCAGUAAG